rnacentral:lncRNA from 1 species
ACUAAGUGUUGAGCAGUGGGAAACAGAGGAAAAACCUGUUCCCUGCCCUUGAAAAAUUUGAAGUUUACUUGGGGAGAACAAACAAAUACGUGAAACUACAAGAAAGAAAUUACAGAGCAUCGUAUUAGUAAAUCCAAAGGACUUUGGUGUAAAUUGAAUAUACACAAACAACUUAAAAAAAGGUAGGGCAAAGCACAGAUCAGAAUGAGGUGAGUUAAUCUGGGAAGAUUUUUGGAAGGUAAAUUUUGAGUUGUUUUAAAGGAAGUGGUUAUGGAUUGGCAAAAGACAGGAAGGGCAUUCCAAAUAAAAGAUGUGACUUUAGCAAAGGCUUAGGGACAGGCAUGAGUAAGUUUUACACAAAAAAAGUAAGCUGAUUAACUUUGUUGAGAGUAAGACUUAUUUUGGGAAGCAGUACUAGACUAGAAAGUUAACGGUUAGGAGGCAGGAGCAGUGGGGAACAGUUAGUUGAUGGGCCUUGAGUGCUAGACAAAACUUAGGUGUUUUGAAAACAUUCUUUGAGGGAAACACAUCCUAGUGAUUUUUUGUCGCAGAAGCAGCUGCAGUUCCUUGUACUGCCUGCCCUUAGCAUCACCCUCCCCCACUUCCUCUCCUUCCUGGAGCCACCUCACUCAGACAUCACACUGACAAAUGAGGGCAGGAAAAUCCAGUGACUGCACACAGUGUCCUCCUUUGGGGAGCGUUCCUGAGUACUUGGCAAACAGAAGCAGUGGCAGCCUCAGCCUCGGAGGCAUCCCGUACGUCCUGGCCAGCCCAGUUUACGCCAUGGAACAGAGGGAAAAUCCACCGAGGUUGCGAUCCAAAAGGCAGCUCCAAAACCAGCUGAAGAUCUGACCCAUUGGCUCUCUGCUCUGAAAUGUAUAGUUCAAAAAUAAGCAGCCUAGCCUUUUCUAUAUGGAAAUGCCAUCACUUGCUUUCCUGGCAGCUACAUGAUUGGAAAUACUGUGAAAUAAAAAGGAGAAGGAAGUAAACA